GUUUUUAUUUCCUCUUUAUCCAGUUUCCUGGUCUCCUUGGUGAAAUAAUGGAAGAAACAUCAUCUGGUUGUAUAGUUGUGAAUUUUGGAUACAAAAUAGGAAAUGUUGUCCUUCCUGUUUCUGCUGUAACAAUGUAGUUAAGAAAUAAACAUCCAGAACGUUCAUUCUUCGCUUGGUUAUUUGGAAAAAAAAACAUAAUUGAAAAAAAUCACAGCAAUGAUGACUCUUCCGUCAUUUCUAUUCCAACAUAGAAAAAAUUUCUCCACUUUUUACUCCCUGACUGUCUGUUUCCCAGUCUGUCUGCCUGUCUGUGUGUGUGUCUUCUUCCUUGUGUCUGAAAUAUGUCAAGAAGACAUAUCACCCCCUCUCUCUCUCUCCCUCUUUCUCUCUGUAUUUCUCGCACAUUUUUAAAAAAUUACCUCUUAUUUAUAAUCGUCCUCGGUAACUUCAUAAUUCUUCUUAGAUCCCUCCCUUAUUAUUUACUGACAAUGCAGACACAGAUACCGAACCUUUCGCUAUGUUCAACUCCCUGCAUCAGUUUAUUUCACCUCUCACAUCAAUCCCUGACCAACACAUAUGUACCCCUUCUACAACACAAGGACAUAUUCACUAUCCACAAACAUAAACGUCACAUACACUAGACCUAACUAUCUCUCACAGACUUGGGCUGACAAACAUACACUGUUUAAUAU